UACGUAGGGUGCGAGCGUUAAUCGGAAUUACUGGGCGUAAAGCGUGCGUAGGCGGUUCCUCAAGUCCGUUGUGAAAGCCCCGGGCUCAACCUGGGAAUGGCAGUGGAAACUAGGGGACUGGAAUCUGGCAGAGGGGGGUGGAAUGCCGCGUGUAGCAGUGAAAUGCGUAGAGAUCGGGAGGAACACCGAUGGCGAAGGCAGCCCCCUGGGUCAAGAUUGACGCUCAUGCACGAAAGCGUGGGGAGCAAACAGG
rnacentral:rRNA from 1 species